rnacentral:misc_RNA from 1 species
AACGCACGAGACCUGCGGACCUGCGGAAGGAUCAUUAAUGAGAAACUGCCCCUCGCGGGUAGAUCUCCCACCCUUUGUAAACUUACCUUUGUUGCUUUGGCAGGCCCGUCUCCGGGCCGCCGGCUUCGGCUGGCCAGUGCCUGCCAGAGGAUUCUAAAACUCUGUCUGUCAGUGUUGUCUGAGUCUAUAUACAAUCGUUAAAACUUUUAGCAACGGAUCUCUAGAUCGGAAGAGCACACG